AUAACUUACUGUAACCAGGGCCGGCGAGAGGUUUCAGAGGUCCUGAGGCAAAAUCCAAAGAUGGGCCACCUGCGUGCGGUGGGAGCAGAAAGUCUUUGCACCCACACCGUUGAUAUAAUCUUAAAAUACUUUUAAUGAUAUUUCCCAAGUCAUUUUUGCAAUCGCUUAAACAUGAAUACGAUUUUAGUCAUACUAUUGCUACGCUUGGUUAAUUCCAUACUUAAAAUGGACUUCAUUACUUUUGGAAGCCUCCUAGACCUCGAGGCUCUGGGGCAAUUUGGCGCUUUGCACCUUUCUUUCGGCAGCCUUGACUGUAAUUGCAGCACAACAUUGCAAAAUCCACCACUAUUCAGAUAAGAAGGCAUUUUCAGACUUUCGAUGAUGAUAGACAUUUUUCAGACUUACAACUUUACCGUCCUGUUAUUUUUUUGAAAAUGUCAGCUGAAAAAUUCAUUUUCAUGUAUUUGCAUUAAUCUUUAGAGAGACAUCACCCGACUAUGUAGAGAUUUGAUAAACCCAGUAGCCAAUUAUGUAGAUUAAUACCUUAGUUCUAACUUAGUUUGUGCCUACCCCCUCCUCAAUAAAAUCGAAGACUGUACUUAAAACAUUAUUCCCAGUAGGGCUUUAACUAUGAAAUAGCCUUUUUGUAUCUGCAUACGCUUUCAAAUAAGAAGAUGUUCUUUAUCGAUAACCUUCGAUUUGUUUCAAAAUUAAUUUUGCAAAGGUUUUUGAUAAAACAGGCUAGAUGGAAACAGGCAAAUAGCCAUAGUACACUUGACUGUUUGCCAAUGAUGGAACUUAAAGCCAGGCAUGUGGUGGAGCUUUCAUUUAAGAACAACUUUGAUCAACAAAAGCCCAACGACAUCAACAUAUUGCUAAAUGAUAUUACCAGAAACUUAAGAUUUUGUUCUGUGCCGCUUAUCCAGGGUGUAGCUAGCGGGAGAAGGUUGUAGGUGGGUGGGACAUUUAUCAGAUACUUUAUUCGUAAAAUCAUCUUUCAGUAGGUAAAAUCAUCUAUCAGAAGAGAUAUAUGCCGAUUCCACUGCACUUAUGAUGUGCAUUCAAUAAUUUCAGUAAAGCUGCGACAGACCUCUUUAAUAAACCGUCGGCAGAUAUUAAAGUCAAGGGAGUUUUCAUCACAAAUGCCCAAUUACUUACGCAUAGAAAUGAAAAAAGACUUUUAGCUUACCACUAGAAUGAGCUGAAUAUUUCUUUAUUUCAUAAAUAUUUUCUUCCAUAUUGCAAUUUUCAUUAAGCACCCUCAUUGGUAGAAAGGAGAUAUUUUUAGCUCAUUUGCCCUGAAUCUCAGUUCCUUUUUUCAUCGAUACAAUUCAGGAAUUUUGCUGGUCAAAAAAAAUGUAGAGGCAACAAAUUGAUAUUUGAUACAUCAAUCGAAAACUCUCAAAAUCUUACUUAACAUUCCUAAAGUGUGACUUUGGACAUGAAAGUUGAAUAUUAUUCCGACAUUUCGAUCACGGAUAGUUGUGGAGAAAAUUGCAACUUUACAAACAAACAUAGGAUAAACACAGUUUUCUUUCAUUGAAUUGGUACCAGUAAAAUAUGAAAAAACACGUCACAAGAUACCAUGAAAAAAACAUAUAAACAUCAACUUAGGGCGAAUCAAUUAAAGGACGAACGCCCCUUAUGAAAUUAACGAGAAGCUGGUAAUUUAAAAUGAGGUCUCUUGCAAUUUGAAUAUAUCCUGCUUUGUGCAGAGGCGGGGCCAGUCACCAAUGUCAUAGAAGCAAUUUUUUUAAGACACACCAUUUUUACUUCCAAGAACAGGAUUUCGGCAUAGAUGAGUGCCUGUACUGCUAGUAGGAUAUACUCAUGACCAACUUUUUCAAGAGCGGAUUAUUUAGAAUGACAAUAGUCAAAUUUCCAAAACUUCUACUCCAGUUGGAGAACCGACCUUACCUGACAGGAAAAUGUUAAUGAUAUAUUAUUGAUCUUUUUAGACCACCGUAGAACACCAUGCAAGGAAGAAAAGGCUUGUUUGCUCUCUCAUAAAGACAGCAAUAAAAACUAUAUCUUACAUCUGACUUU